CUGCCCGUCUGCACACAGGCGCCCAUGUGCCUGGCCUGUGUCCUGGGGCAGUAUCCUGCCUGGCCAGCUUUCUCAUGUGGGAGUGUUGGGCGGUGGGAGGAACCUGGGUGGCCGGGGCCCAAGCUGGGCUGUCUCUUCCCACAGAGUGGCGUCCGGGCUCCACAGCGCAGAUCCUGUCGGACCUGGACCUGACGUCACAGCGGGAGGGCCGGUGGAAGCGCGUCAACACCCUUAUGCACUACAAUGUGAGCGUGUGGGCCGGGGCGGGCGAGAACCGGGCACCCUGGGGGCACAGUCCACCCUCACUGCCGUGUUCCCCAGGUCCGGGAUGGAGCCACCCUCAUCCUGUCCAAGGUGGGGGUCUCCCAGCAGCCGGAGGACAGCCAGCAGGACCUUCCUGGGGAGCGGCAUGCCCUCCUGGAGGAGGAGAACCGGGUGUGGCACCUGGUGCGGCCGACCGACGAGGUGGACGAGGGCAAGUCCAAGAGAGGUAGCGUGAAAGAGAAGGAGCGGACGAAGGCCAUCACCGAGAUCUACCUGACGCGGCUGCUUUCGGUCAAGGGCACACUGCAGCAGUUUGUGGACAACUUCUUCCAGAGCGUGCUGGCGCCUGGGCACGUGGUGCCACCCGCAGUCAAGUACUUCUUCGACUUCCUGGACGAGCAGGCAGAGAAGCACAACAUCCAGGAUGAGGACACCAUCCACAUCUGGAAGACGAACAGCUUACCGCUCCGGUUCUGGGUGAACAUCCUCAAGAACCCCCACUUCAUCUUUGACGUGCAUGUCCACGAGGUGGUGGACGCCUCGCUGUCAGUCAUCGCGCAGACCUUCAUGGACGCCUGCACACGCACGGAGCAUAAGCUGAGCCGAGAUUCUCCCAGCAACAAGCUGCUGUACGCCAAGGAGAUCUCCACCUACAAGAAGAUGGUGGAGGAUUACUACAAGGGGAUCCGGCAGAUGGUGCAGGUCAGCGACCAGGACAUGAACACACACCUGGCAGAGAUUUCCCGGGCACACACGGACUCCUUGAACACUCUCGUGGCACUACACCAGCUCUACCAAUACACGCAGAAGUACUAUGACGAGGUAGGGUCAGGACCCCAGGGGCGGGGGCGGGUGGGGUGCUGGGCGAUCCCCCGAUAUGCUCUGAUGGGACCCUCCCUCAGAUCAUCAAUGCCUUGGAGGAGGACCCUGCCGCCCAGAAGAUGCAGCUGGCCUUCCGCCUGCAGCAGAUUGCGGCUGCACUGGAGAACAAGGUCACUGACCUCUGACCUACACCUCCAGUGCUGCCUUGGGGCAUAGGUACCCGAGGUACCUGAGAGCCCCUCGGGGGAGGAGGCCGAGUGGCUGUGGCUGAGGCCCCCACCCUCCCCUGGAGAACGCGCCCCAAGCCGGAGUGGGUGCAACGGGAACCCACCCAGCGUCUAGACUGUAGCAUCUUCCUCUGAGCAAUACCGCCCGGGCGCUGUACCAGCACCAGCCCCAGCCCCAGCUCCCUCUGGCGGCAGAACCAGCAUCGGGUGUUCACUGUCCAGUCUUGAGUGAUUUGAAAAUGUGCCUUACGCUGCCACGCUGGGGGCAGCUGGCCUCCGCCUCCGCCCACGCACCAGCAGCCGCCUCCAUGCCAUAGGUUGGGCCCCUGGGGGAUCUGAGGGCCUGCGGCCCCCAGGGCAAGUUCCCAGAUCCUAUGUCUGUCUGUCCACCUCGAGAUGGGAGGAGGAGAAAAAGCGGUACGAUGCCUUCCUGACCUCACCGGCCUCCCCAAGGGUGCCGGCACUCUGGGUGGACUCACGGCUGCUGGGCCCCACGUCAAAGGUCAAGUGAGACGUAGGUCAAGUCCUGCGUCGGGGCCCAGACAUCCUGGGGUCCUGGUCUGUCAGACAGGCUGCCCUAGAGCCCCACCCAGUCCGGGGCCACUGGGAGCAGUUCCACCAAGACCACCCCACCCCUUUUUGUAAAUCUUGUUCAUUGUAAAUCAAAUACAGCCGUCUUUUUCACUCUG
rnacentral:sRNA from 1 species